UACGGAGGAUCCAAGCGUUGUCCGGAUUUAUUGGGUUUAAAGGGUGCGUAGGCGGGUUAUUAAGUCAGUGGUGAAAGCCGGCAGCUCAACUGUCGAACUGCCAUUGAAACUGAUAGCCUAGAAUCUAGUAGAGGUAGGCGGAAUGUAUCAUGUAGCGGUGAAAUGCUUAGAUAUGAUACAGAACACCAAUUGCGAAAGCAGCUUACUAUGCUAGUAUUGACGCUGAGGCACGAAAGCGUGGGGAUCAAACAGGAUUAGAUACCCUGGUAGUCCACGCUGUAAACGUUGAAUACUCGAUGUUGGCGAUACACUGUCAGCGUCCAAGAGAAAUCGUUAAGUAUUCCACCUGGGGAGUACGCUCGCAAGAGUGAA
rnacentral:rRNA from 1 species